rnacentral:snoRNA from 14 species
AUGCAUCUGACAGACAUGAAGCAGUUUCCACUAGAGAUGCAAGAAAAAAAAAAGUGUCCUCACACUUUCUUUCUGAUUGUGGCAGCCAAGAUUGAAUGGGGGAAUAUAGGA